rnacentral:lncRNA from 10 species
GGAGAAGCGCUGGAGCGCUAAGGGAAGAGAGGAAGUCAGACCCAUUUUCACUGCUUAUGAACUGUGUACCCUUAGUUAACUUACUCAAUCUCCUAGCCAGUUGGAAGAAAGGAGCGCAUGAAAAAUAUCUACUUCAAAGGGCUACUGUGUGAUUUAAAUGAACUAAAAAGUGUAAACUGCCCAGAACAUUGCAUGACAGUUACUACACUUUCAUUAAACUUUCCUUUUCUUCCCUUUCCCUUGUUUUGCUAUAGCAUAAGGUCUGUGGGUACAACGUCUGUCUUAUUUCUGCAACUCUUUCAAAAUCUAGCAGUAAACUGCAUUAGUAGGAGCUCAAUAGCUGUUAGCUGAAUUAGAGAAUGAAUGAAGUUUACAGGAUCACCUCAUACAUGUUUAAGGGAGAAUACACACCCACACAUCCACUCACAUUAGCUUUAAGGGAAUCAUGGUGAACCUUAAUGCACAUGUUAUUGACUUACUCUGAAGCUUUCUGCAGCUCAGUAAUGAGUGUAGGCUCAAUAAAUGCUGUUGACUGACUGAUAGCUCACACUCCAGGAGAGUUGGAGAACCAUUAGGUUCAACAGUUACCACCUGUGGUUCCUGAAACUAUUGGGAGGAGAAAAAGAUAAAUAUGCAGUCUAAUUAGCAGCUGACUUAGGGUUGCAAGAUCAAAUGCAGGUAGAAUCCUAUUAUAGCCUACACCACAGGUCCUCAAAAUUGUUUUGUUGAGUGAUUGCAUCAUAAUGAGUACCUGGUAGAAAUCAUCACUCAUAUCUCCCUGUAUUUUCUCACAAUGCUCCCUCACCU